rnacentral:rRNA from 1 species
GUGGGGAAUUUUGGACAAUGGGCGCAAGCCUGAUCCAGCGACGCCGCGUGGAGGACGAAGGCCUUCGGGUUGUAAACUCCUUUUGGAGGGGAAGAAUAAAUUGACGGUACCCUCAGAAAAAGCCACGGCUAACUACGUGCCAGCAGCCGCGGUAAUACGUAGGUGGCGAGCGUUACUCGGAAUUACUAGGCGUAAAGCGUAUGUAGGUGGUUAGAUAAGUCGAUGGUGAAAUUUCCUGGCUUAACUGGGAAGGGACAUAGAUACUAUCUGGCUUGAGUGUGGGAGGGGGAGACGGAAUUCCUGGUGUAGCGGUGAAAUGCGUAGAUAUCAGGAGGAACACCGAUGGCGAAAGCAGUCUCCUGGCCCAAUACUGACACUGAGGUACGAAAGCUAGGGUAGCAAACAGGAUUAGAUACCCGAGUAGUC